rnacentral:misc_RNA from 1 species
AUCAAUUUAUAACUACAAUUACUUCAAAAAAACUACCUCAAGCAUUACAAAAGUGGUAAAUUUCACGCUAGAACUUAAGUGAGCUUUAAAGCCUUUGCAUUUGUUAAGAAAAAUGAGAACUGAUACUUUUAUCGCAGUUUGUUCUGCAUUUUAUCCACAUUUAAGGGAGCAUUGAGGCAUGUUGUUUAACAACUAGAAAGUGUUCUAUUCACUUAUCUUCUUG